rnacentral:rRNA from 1 species
GGGGGGGGCUAACCUGCAAGUCGAGCGGAGUGAUGGUGCUUGCACUAUCACUUAGCGGCGGACGGGUGAGUAAUGCUUAGGAAUCUGCCUAUUAGUGGGGGACAACAUUUCGAAAGGAAUGCUAAUACCGCAUACGUCCUACGGGAGAAAGCAGGGGAUCUUCGGACCUUGCGCUAAUAGAUGAGCCUAAGUCGGAUUAGCUAGUUGGUGGGGUAAAGGCCUACCAAGGCGACGAUCUGUAGCGGGUCUGAGAGGAUGAUCCGCCACACUGGGACUGAGACACGGCCCAGACUCCUACGGGAGGCAGCAGUGGGGAAUAUUGGACAAUGGGCGCAAGCCUGAUCCAGCCAUGCCGCGUGUGUGAAGAAGGCCUUAUGGUUGUAAAGCACUUUAAGCGAGGAGGAGGCUACUGAAGUUAAUACCUUUAGAUAGUGGACGUUACUCGCAGAAUAAGCACCGGCUAACUCUGUGCCAGCAGCCGCGGUAAUACAGAGGGUGCAAGCGUUAAUCGGAUUUACUGGGCGUAAAGCGCGCGUAGGCGGCUAAUUAAGUCAAAUGUGAAAUCCCCGAGCUUAACUUGGGAAUUGCAUUCGAUACUGGUUAGCUAGAGUGUGGGAGAGGAUGGUAGAAUUCCAGGUGUAGCGGUGAAAUGCGUAGAGAUCUGGAGGAAUACCGAUGGCGAAGGCAGCCAUCUGGCCUAACACUGACGCUGAGGUGCGAAAGCAUGGGGAGCAAACAGGAUUAGAUACCCUGGUAGUCCAUGCCGUAAACGAUGUCUACUAGCCGUUGGGGCCUUUGAGGCUUUAGUGGCGCAGCUAACGCGAUAAGUAGACCGCCUGGGGGAGUACGGUCGCAAGACUAAAACUCAAAUGAAAUUGACGGGGGCCCGCACAAGCGGUGGAAGCAUGUGGUUUAAUUCGAUGCAACGCGAAGAACCUUACCUGGCCUUGACAUAGUAAGACUUUCCCAAAGAUGGAUUGGUGCCUCCGG